UACCAGCACCCCGAGUGGUCGGGACGAUUAUUGGGCCUAAAGCAUCCGUAGCCGGCCUUACAAGUCCUCCGUUAAAUCCAGCUGCUUAACAGAUGGGCUGCGGAGGAUACUAUAAGACUAGGAGGCAGGAGAGGCAAGCGGUACUCAGUGGGUAGGGGUAAAAUCCGUUGAUCCAUUGAAGACCACCAGUGGCGAAGGCGGCUUGCCAGAAUGCGCUCGACGGUGAGGGAUGAAAGCUGGGGGGAGCAAACCGGG
rnacentral:rRNA from 1 species